rnacentral:misc_RNA from 1 species
GCCGCCUCGAAAUCGAGCUAGCUGAAGUUGAAAUGCCUGGUUUAAUGGCUUGUCGUACUGAAUUUGGUCCAUCACAGCCAUUCAAAGGUGCAAAAAUCACCGGAAGUCUACAUAUGACGAUCCAAACCGCUGUCUUAAUCGAAACCCUCACCGCAUUGGGUGCUGAAGUUCGAUGGUGUUCCUGCAACAUUUUCUCAACUCAAGAUCACGCGGCAGCUGCUACAGCGCGUGACAGCGCUGCAGUUUUCGCGUGGAAAGGGGAAACAUUGCAGGAGUAUUG